CCUACGGGUGGCAGCAGUGAGGAAUAUUGGUCAAUGGACGAGAGUCUGAACCAGCCAAGUAGCGUGAAGGAUGACUGCCCUAUGGGUUGUAAACUUCUUUUAUAAAGGAAUAAAACGAGGCACGUGUGCCUGUUUGCAUGUACUUUAUGAAUAAGGAUCGGCUAACUCCGUGCCAGCAGCCGCGGUAAUACGGAGGAUCCGAGCGUUAUCCGGAUUUAUUGGGUUUAAAGGGAGCGUAGAUGGGUUGUUAAGUUAGUUGUGAAAGUUUGCGGCUCAACGGUAAAAUUGCAAUUGAUACUGGCAGUCUUGAGUGCAGUUGAGGUAGGCGGAAUUCAUGGUGUAGCGGUGAAAUGCUUAGAGAUCACACAGAACCCCGAUUGCGAAGGCAGCUUACUAAGCUAUGACUGACAUUGAUGCUCGAAAGUGUGGGUAUCAAACAGGAUUAGAUACCCCAGUAGUC
rnacentral:rRNA from 1 species